ensembl:lncRNA
GGUAUAAGUACCCCAUCUACAUCAACUUCCUGCCGGGGAAGCAGCACGCCAUCGCAACUUCAAUGACACCAUAGACUACUCCUACCAUGUGAUGAUGAUGCUCAUGGGUGCGUCUGCCCUCGCCUUGUUCGCGGACGCUCCCUGGCUCCCGGUCCCUGUGCACACAGCCCCUGGGCCAUCAGCCCAGCUGCCUCCGGUUCCCAGCCCAGAGCCCUGCUGGGUCAGGACACUUGGUGGGGGAGGGAGGGCGGGCUCUGAGCCUCCCGUUUCACAGCUGUCACUCCUGGGGUCCAGCACCGGCAUCCACACCCACCUGUGCCACCCCUGCUCUGGGCAGGACCCCUCCUCACACAGCAGGACUCAUGGGGGGUGCAUAGGGCAGGGGCUGGGGCUCUGUGCACGAUGCUGGCCAGGAGGGUCCGGGUGCAGCCUCUGAGACCCCGACUCCGGGACAGCCCGGGCUGAGGACAUGGCCGGGGCCCCUGGGGGAGCCAGGGCCACACGGGGCUCUGCCGCUCUCCAGGGUGAGCCUGUGUGCGUGGCAGGGGUCAGGACCCCGCGGCCAGGUGGGGAGAGGGGCCCUGGGCUGGGAGCUGUAGCACACGGUGGGACCCCUCCCUCCUCACACUGGGCUCUCCUCCUGGCUGCCAACCGCAGGCCCCUUCCUCAGCCAGGGGAUCCCCAGCCCACUGUCUGCCUUCCAGGGCCAGUGCGGGGCAGGACCCCUUCCUGGGGGGCUUGGGGGACGGCCCUGGGGCUGUCAGCCUGGCAGGAGGCCCCUGCACUCAGGAGACCGAAUUCCAGACAAGACCCAGGCUCCCCCUGCCUGGGCCCCAGCUGCUCCUUCUCAGGAUGCUGGGGGUGGGUUCUUGGGGUUCCCGGGGGACAGCAGGCUGGCGGCUUCUCAGAGUCCAGGGCUCCCCCGCGAGCUGUCAGGGUCAGGCCUGGCAGGGGGCCCUCCCCAGCCCACCUGCUUCCCCAACGUGAGCCAGGGUCGCCCGACUCCACCCGCCCCCACCUGCAGGCCGCACCCUGGAUGGAAACCCGGAGGCUGAGGCGACCUUCGAGGAGUUCGCGGAGAGCAAAGGGCUGAACCGAAGCGACAUCGCCAGGCCCCCUCCCCUCGAAGCCUGCGCGCUGACCCCAGACUCUUAGUGCCGGGGGCGGCACCGCCUGCCCAGGAAGGACCCGGCCCCGCCCCGCGCCUGCGCUCAGAGCUCCAGCCUGGGAGCCGCCCCGCCCUGCCGGGCAUGAUUGAGUCAGCGGAGUGGCCCCUCCCCCGGAGGGUCAGCAUCACCAGGCGGGGACCCCUCCCCAGCAUGGACGCGCGGGGGCGCCCCCAGGCUCUCUGAGAGGCGGGUGCUGUGGUCACCUCCCCUGAGACGUCGCUAUGGAGACGAGUGUGCUCCUGAGUGCCAGUGGCCGCAGCCCCUCCCCUCUGAGAGUGGAGCCCCUGAGCCCAGGGCGGGGUCCCCUGCUGCCCUCCUCCCCCGCCCCCCGGGAUCUCCUGUGGCUUUGCCUGCCCUGAGCCCUGGGUGUCUGCUGAGUGAAAAUAAAGCUGCUUCGCUGUACUAGCCUGGGCGCCUC